rnacentral:RNase_P_RNA from 1 species
GCGAUGAACCAGGCUGCCGCGGUUUUCGGGGACACGCGAAACACGUCCCCGGGAAUUGAGGAAAGUCCGGACUCCGCAGGGCAUGAUGCCGGGUAACGCCCGGGCGGCGGGCCGUAAUCGGAGGAUUUUUCCGAAGAUAUUCGGCGCGCCGACAGACAGCGCAACAGAAAACAUACCGUCAGGCCGCCGGCGGGGCACAGCCCCGGGGGCCGGUGGCAACACCGGCUGCGGCGCAUGACAAGGGUGAAAUGGCGGGGUAAGAGCCCACCUCGGCGGCGGCGACGCCGCCGGAAAGAUUCCGGCCCGGACGGGAAGAAGGCGGGAGGCAACUCCGAACCUUUUUUCAGUUUCGCCGGAAAAUGGCAAGCCUCAUCAGGAGCAAAGUCAAAACGUGUGUGGGAAAGCGACGCUUUUCCGCCAGCUGCCCGUUGGUUAAACACAGGUAGACCGCACAGACCCGGCCGGCAAGGGCCGUGCCAGUCAGAUGGCAGCGGGACCGUUUCUUCAGGGAAGAUCGAUCGGCCGGAAAUUUCCGGUCCGACCGUUUCCCUGGAACGGUUUUUACAGAAUCCGGCUUAUGGUUCAUCGCUUUU